GAAUUUCUUACCUGGACACCAUCAGGUGAUAAAUGGUGAAUGGGACGUUGCAGCUAUUGCAUACAGGGCUUAUGAUCUUGAGGGGAAGACUGUUGGGACUGUUGGAGCUGGUCGCAUUGGCAAGCUUUUACUCCAGCGCCUAAAGCCCUUCAACUGCAACCUUCUCUAUCAUGAUCGGCUUAAGAUGGAUCCCGAACUGGAGUCAGCUAUAGGGGCAAAGUUUGAGGAAGAUCUUGAUGCUAUGCUUCCCAAGUGUGACAUAAUUGUCAUCAAUACACCCCUUACUGAGAAAACAAGGGGGUUGUUUGACAAAAAUAGGAUUGCAAAAUUGAAGAAAGGAGUUCUCAUUGUGAACAAUGCGCGUGGAGCGAUAAUGGACACUCAAGCAGUUGCAGAUGCUUGCUCUACUGGGCAUAUUGGGGGUUACAGCGGGGAUGUGUGGUACCCUCAACCAGCUCCAAAGGAUCAUCCAUGGCGCUACAUGCCUAACCAGGCCAUGACCCCACAUAUUUCUGGGACGACGAUUGAUGCACAGCUGAGAUAUGCUGCUGGAACAAAGGACAUGCUGGACAAGUACUUUAAGGGAGAGGACUUCCCCGCGCAGAACUACAUUGUUAAGGAAGGCAAACUUGCGAGCCAGUACCUCUGAUUCUACAGCCAUCUCGAUCGCAGUUUCUGGUGUGGAUCUGCACUUCUCAGUAGCUAAAAGUAAUAAAGACUUUGAGAAGUGUGUAGUGUUUUUCCUAACUUGGUUCUGUUUGAAGGUAUCGGACUCCGAACUUUCGGGUCAAUAAAUGCAAUGCCUGCCUAAGUUUUAAAUUUUGUAUUGUGAUGUUAAGAACUAAUGCUGAAGAAGUAUUUGGUAAUUCCUGAAAUGAACAGUUUCUUUAAA
rnacentral:misc_RNA from 1 species